rnacentral:rRNA from 1 species
UUAAGUGAUUAAGCGUACACGGUGGAUGCCUUGGCAGUCAGAGGCGAUGAAGGACGUAUUAACUUGCGAUAAGCGUAGAUGAGGUAGUAAAAACCACUUGAGUCUACGAUUUCCGAAUGGGGAAACCCAACUGCAGCAGCAGUUAUCAUUAGAUGAAUACAUAGUCUAAUGAGGCGAACCGGGAGAACUGAAACAUCUAAGUACCCCGAGGAAAAGAAAUCAACCGAGAUUCCGAGAGUAGCGGCGAGCGAAAUCGGAGUAGCCCUUAAGCUUUUGCAGCGUUAGGUGAAGUGUCUGGAAAGGCACGCAAUAGAGGGUGAUAGCCCCGUAACCGAAGGCGCUGUUUAGGUGAAAACGAGUAAGGCGGGACACGUGAUAUCCUGUCUGAACAUGGGGGGACCAUCCUCCAAGGCUAAAUACUCCUGACUGACCGAUAGUGAACCAGUACCGUGAGGGAAAGGCGAAAAGAACCCCUGUGAGGGGAGUGAAAUAGAACCUGAAACCGUGUACGUACAAGCAGUAGGAGCCUCCUUUGUGGGGUGACUGCGUACCUUUUGUAUAAUGGGUCAGCGACUUAUAUUCAGUGGCGAGGUUAACCGAUUAGGGGAGCCGUAGCGAAAGCGAGUGUUAACUGCGCGUUCAGUCGCUGGAUAUAGACCCGAAACCGGGUGAUCUAGCCAUGGGCAGGUUGAAGGUUGAGUAACAUCAACUGGAGGACCGAACCGACUAAUGUUGAAAAAUUAGCGGAUGACUUGUGGCUAGGGGUGAAAGGCCAAUCAAACCCGGAGAUAGCUGGUUCUCCCCGAAAGCUAUUUAGGUAGCGCCUCGGACGAAUACUACUGGGGGUAGAGCACUGUUAAGGCUAGGGGGUCAUCCCGACUUACCAACCCUUUGCAAACUCCGAAUACCAGUAAGUACUAUCCGGGAGACACACGGCGGGUGCUAACGUCCGUCGUGGAGAGGGAAACAACCCAGACCGCCAGCUAAGGUCCCAAAUUACAGCUAAGUGGGAAACGAUGUGGGAAGGCUCAGACAGCUAGGAUGUUGGCUUAGAAGCAGCCAUCAUUUAAAGAAAGCGUAAUAGCUCACUAGUCGAGUCGGCCUGCGCGGAAGAUGUAACGGGGCUAAGCUGUAAACCGAAGCUGCGGCAAUGCUCGUGAGAGUAUUGGGUAGGGGAGCGUUCUGUAAGCCGUUGAAGGUGGAUUGUAAAGUCUGCUGGAGGUAUCAGAAGUGCGAAUGCUGACAUGAGUAACGAUAAAGGGAGUGAAAAACUCCCUCGCCGGAAGACCAAGGGUUCCUGUCCAACGUUAAUCGGGGCAGGGUAAGUCGACCCCUAAGGCGAGGCCGAAAGGCGUAGUCGAUGGGAAACGGGUUAAUAUUCCCGUACUUGUUGUGAAUGCGAUGGGGGGACGGAGAAGGCUAGGUGGGCCUGGCGACGGUCGUCCAGGUUCAAGUGCGUAGGCUGCAGAGUUAGGUAAAUCCGGCUCUGCGUUAGGCUGAGACACGAUGUCGAGCAUCUACGGAUGUGAAGUCAUUGAUGCCAUGCUUCCGGGAAAAGCCUCUAAGCUUCAGUUCACAAGAAAUCGUACCCCAAACCGACACAGGUGGUCGGGUAGAGAAUACCAAGGCGCUUGAGAGAACUCGGGUGAAGGAACUAGGCAAAAUGGUACCGUAACUUCGGGAGAAGGUACGCUCUUGACGGUGAAGUCCCUUGCGGAUGGAGCUGUUGGGAGUCGCAGAUACCAGGUGGCUGCAACUGUUUAUUAAAAACACAGCACUGUGCAAAAUCGUAAGAUGACGUAUACGGUGUGACGCCUGCCCGGUGCCGGAAGGUUAAUUGAUGGGGUUAGACUUCGGUCGAAGCUCUUGAUCGAAGCCCCGGUAAACGGCGGCCGUAACUAUAACGGUCCUAAGGUAGCGAAAUUCCUUGUCGGGUAAGUUCCGACCUGCACGAAUGGCGUAAUGAUGGCCACGCUGUCUCCACCCGAGACUCAGUGAAAUUGAAAUCGCUGUGAAGAUGCAGUGUACCCGCGGCUAGACGGAAAGACCCCGUGAACCUUUACUACAGCUUGGCACUGAACAUUGAACCUACAUGUGUAGGAUAGGUGGGAGGCUUUGAAGCGCAGUCGCUAGAUUGUGUGGAGCCAUCCUUGAAAUACCACCCUUGUAGUUUUGAUGUUCUAACUUUGGCCCGUCAUCCGGGUCGAGGACAGUGCCUGGUGGGUAGUUUGACUGGGGCGGUCUCCUCCCAAAGAGUAACGGAGGAGCACGAAGGUGGGCUAAACACGGUUGGACAUCGUGUGGUUAGUGCAAUGGCAUAAGCCCGCUUAACUGCGAGAAUGACAAUUCGAGCAGGUGCGAAAGCAGGUCAUAGUGAUCCGGUGGUUCUGAAUGGAAGGGCCAUCGCUCAACGGAUAAAAGGUACUCCGGGGAUAACAGGCUGAUACCGCCCAAGAGUUCAUAUCGACGGCGGUGUUUGGCACCUCGAUGUCGGCUCAUCACAUCCUGGGGCUGAAGUCGGUCCCAAGGGUAUGGCUGUUCGCCAUUUAAAGUGGUACGCGAGCUGGGUUUAGAACGUCGUGAGACAGUUCGGUCCCUAUCUGCCGUGGGCGUUGGAGAAUUGAAAGGGGCUGCUCCUAGUACGAGAGGACCGGAGUGGACGAACCACUGGUGUUCGGGUUGUGAUGCCAAUCGCAUUGCCCGGUAGCUAAGUUCGGGAUCGAUAACCGCUGAAAGCAUCUAAGCGGGAAGCGAGCCUUGAGAUGAGUUCUCCCUGGCGCUUAAAGCGUCCUGAAGGGUUGUUCGAGACUAGAACGUUGAUAGGCAGGGUGUGUAAGCGCUGUGAGGCGUUGAGCUAACCUGUACUAAUUGCCCGUGAGACUUAACCAU